GGGGGGAUUUGGGAACCCCCAGCCCCAAAUUCUGCGGCAGCGGGGGCUGGGCUGGAUCAGGCACUUCUGGGCACUGCGGGGAGGGGACAGGGACGGACAGAGGGACGGACAGGAUGGACAGAGGGAUGGACAGGGAGGGACAGAGGGAUGGACACAGGGAUGGAUUGGGAUGGACACAGGGAUGGACAGGGAUGGACAUGGGGGGGGGGACAGGGAUGGACAGAGGGAGGGACAGAGGGAUGGACAGAGGGAUGGACAGGGAUGGAUGGGAUGGACAGAGGGAUGGACACAGGAUGGACACAGGGAUGGACAGGGAUGGACACAGGGAUGGACACAGGGAUGGACACAGGAUGGACAGAGGGAUGGACACAGGGAUGGACAGAGGGAUGGACAGGGAUGGACAGAGGGAUGGACACAGGAUGGACAGAGGGAUGGACACAGGGAUGGACACAGGAUGGACGCUGCAUCCACAGCCCUGCUGUCCCAUCCCGCUGUCCCAGCCCUGCCCUGUCCCCAGCCCCGGGUGCCCACAC
rnacentral:lncRNA from 1 species